rnacentral:rRNA from 1 species
UACAGAGGUCCCAAGCGUUGUUCGGAUUCACUGGGCGUAAAGGGUGCGUAGGUGGUGCGGGAAGUCUGGUGUGAAAUCUCCGAGCUCAACUCGGAAACGGCACUAGAAACUCUCGCGCUGGAGGGUCGGAAGGGAGACUGGAAUUCUCGGUGUAGCGGUGAAAUGCGUAGAUAUCGAGAGGAACACCAGUGGCGAAAGCGAGUCUCUGGACGACACCUGACACUGAGGCACGAAAGCUAGGGGAG